rnacentral:lncRNA from 1 species
UUCUUCAUUCCAUGGACAGCAAUAACGUGUGAGGACCCACCUAGAAGUCACCAUCUAUGAAGCAGGAAGCAGGCCCUCAGCAGACAUGAAAUCUCCUGGUGCUUUGAUUUGGACUUCCCAGCCUCUAGAACGUGGUGCAUGUCACCUUCCUGCAAGGCAACUAGUUUGCAGAUAUGGCCAGAGGGGAAAUUACUGGACAACAAAAUGAAAAGGGGGCAUAAGUCAGCCAGCUCUCUCAAUCCUAGGAAAGGAAACUUCCCUCCUGCUUAUGAAAGAGGACGAUUGUGCCCAGUACCACUUAUCCAGUGCCAACAAUCUGGUAAACCCUCUAUUCAGUGCUACACCAGGGCUACAGAAAGGUGACCUGGAGUUUGGGGCUGAGGAGGCCAAGAAACUUGAAAAAGUGAUAGAAGCAGGGUACCUUUUGCAUCAUCAAACACAGCUCAGCUCUCCUUGCAGCCAGGAGUGGCCAUAUGAUGGAUUCUGACUAAUGAGAUGCAAGCUGAAGUUGCUAAUUGGGACUCCUAAAAACACUUUUAAAAAGUGAUGGACUCAUGAUCUCUUCACCCUUCUUCUGCCUGUCUCGAAUUGUCCAUCCUCAGACUUCUUGAUACACAAAAAAUUUAUUUUCGGCUAGGCCAUGUUAAUUUGGUUUUCCACUACUUGCAGCUGACUGUACUGAUUAUCUAAAACUGCUUUAUAAAGUUUUGUGACUAGGGGGUGGGAGCAAUGAUCACUAAUAUUCAUUAAGUGAAAGGAUAAAUGAUUGAAUUGUGUAUCUUAAUUGUGGUAUAUUCUGUACAACAUUUUUACAAUAAAUUAAUGUUGAAUUAGUUUAUUGGUGUCUUCUGAGAAGUCAUUUUGAUACAGUAUGAAUUCAAUAAGACAAGUCUUCCAUUGAGCAUGCUUGGGUACUGGUGAGGAAUCACCUGGGGUUGUUACCAUUGAGAACUAGCAGAACAGUAACCAUCAUUUGCUCCAAUGACACACGGUGCAUCUCUUAUGCUAUUAGAAGCAGGACAGCUGGAUAUAAGCAACCAGGUACAGCUGGAAUAGAAAAGAUAGACAGUGGAUUCUUUGGCUUCAUCCAAGUGGGCUGAGGAUUGAAGUAUUUUUCCAGUCAUGUUCUUGAACACCUACUUUCAUGGCAUGCUGACAUUUCCAGACUACUGAAGAUGUGAUGAUUAACUGAUCCUGCAUUUGAUGAAAAAAAAAGUUUGCACAUUCCAAAGGAGAUAGGUUUCAAAUGACUAUAUAGGGUACAAUUUCCACUGAAGUGAUUUCUCUUAAUCUUAAUCCUUAACCACUCUCAUUGCUACAGUACCUUCCAAAGAUUAGGAGCCGGGGAGGGAUGAGAAGUUAAUUGAGCUGAGCAUCUCAGGAACAGGAAGUCACAGCUGAGCAGCGAGAGUUGAUUCCACCAAGAAAAGA